CAGCCGCCGCGGUAAUACGAAGGGGGCUAGCGUUGCUCGGAAUGACUGGGCGUAAAGGGCGCGUAGGCGGCGAUCAAAGUCAGGCGUGAAAUUCCUGGGCUCAACCUGGGGGCUGCGCUUGAUACUUGGUUGCUUGAGUGGGGAAGAGGGUCGUGGAAUUCCCAGUGUAGAGGUGAAAUUCGUAGAUAUUGGGAAGAACACCGGUGGCGAAGGCGGCGACCUGGUCCUUGACUGACGCUGAGGCGCGAAAGCGUGGGGAGCAAACAGGAUUAGAUACCCCUGUAGUCCCUGUCUCUUAUAA
rnacentral:rRNA from 1 species